CAGCCGCCGCGGGAAUACGGAGGGUGCAAGCGUUAAUCGGAAUUACUGGGCGUAAAGCGUGCGUAGGCGGUUCGUUAAGUCUGUUGUGAAAGCCCCGGGCUCAACCUGGGAAUGGCAAUGGAUACUGGCGAGCUAGAGUGUGUCAGAGGGGGGUAGAAUUCCACGUGUAGCAGUGAAAUGCGUAGAGAUGUGGAGGAAUACCGAUGGCGAAGGCAGCCCCCUGGGCCAAUACUGACGCUCAUGCACGAAAGCGUGGGGAGCAAACAGGAUUAGAUACCCCUGUAGUCCCUGUCUCUUAUAC
rnacentral:rRNA from 1 species